rnacentral:tRNA from 1 species
AAAAUAUUAAGUUAUAUUAAACUAAAAAUUUUCAAAAUUUUAAAAAAGAAUAAGAUUUCUUAUAUUUUU